rnacentral:rRNA from 1 species
GAUGAACGCUGGCGGCGUGCUUAACACAUGCAAGUCGAGCGAAGCGGCUGAAUUGAUUCUUCGGAUGAUUUUCAGUCGACUGAGCGGCGGACGGGUGAGUAACGCGUGGGUGACCUGCCCCAUACCGGGGGAUAACAGCUGGAAACGGCUGCUAAUACCGCAUAAGCGCACAGAGCUGCAUGGCUCGGUGUGAAAAACUCCGGUGGUAUGGGAUGGGCCCGCGUCUGAUUAGGCAGUUGGCGGGGUAACGGCCCACCAAACCGACGAUCAGUAGCCGGCCUGAGAGGGCGACCGGCCACAUUGGGACUGAGACACGGCCCAAGCUCCUACGGGAGGCAGCAGUGGGGAAUAUUGCACAAUGGGGGAAACCCUGAUGCAGCGACGCCGCGUGAGCGAAGAAGUAUUUCGGUAUGUAAAGCUCUAUCAGCAGGGAAGAUAAUGACGGUACCUGACUAAGAAGCCCCGGCUAACUACGUGCCAGCAGCCGCGGUAAUACGUAGGGGGCAAGCGUUAUCCGGAUUCACUGGGUGUAAAGGGAGCGUAGACGGCAAGGCAAGUCUGAUGUGAAAACCCAGGGCUUAACCCUGGGACUGCAUUGGAAACUGUCUGGCUCGAGUGCUGGAGAGGUAAGCGGAAUUCCUAGUGUAGCGGUGAAAUGCGUAGAUAUUAGGAAGAACACCAGUGGCGAAGGCGGCUUACUGGACGGUAACUGACGUUGAGGCUCGAAAGCGUGGGGAGCAAACAGGAUUAGAUACCCUGGUAGUCCACGCCGUAAACGA